UACGUAGGUGGCGAGCGUUGUCCGGAUUUACUGGGCGUAAAGGGAGCGUAGGCGGAUUUUUAAGUGAGAUGUGAAAUACUCGGGCUCAACUUGAGUGCUGCAUUUCAAACUGGAAGUCUAGAGUGCAGGAGAGGAGAAUGGAAUUCCUAGUGUAGCGGUGAAAUGCGUAGAGAUUAGGAAGAACACCAGUGGCGAAGGCGAUUCUCUGGACUGUAACUGACGCUGAGGCUCGAAAGCGUGGGGAGCGAACAGG
rnacentral:rRNA from 1 species